rnacentral:rRNA from 1 species
UACAGAGGUCCCAAGCGUUGUUCGGAUUCACUGGGCGUAAAGGGUGCGUAGGUGGCCAGGUAAGUUCGGUGUGAAAGCUCGGAGCUUAACUCCGAAAUGGCAUUGAAUACUAUCUGGCUAGAGGGUCGGAGGGGAGACUGGAAUUCUCGGUGUAGCAGUGAAAUGCGUAGAUAUCGAGAGGAACACCUGCGGCGAAGGCGGGUUGCUGGGCUGACACUGACGCUGAUGCGCGAAAGCCAGGGGAGCGAACGGG